rnacentral:rRNA from 1 species
GACGAACGCUGGCGGCGUGCUUAACACAUGCAAGUCGAGCGGAAAGGCCCUUCGGGGUACUCGAGCGGCGAACGGGUGAGUAACACGUGAGUAACCUGCCCCAGCCUUUGGGAUAACCCUCGGAAACGGGGGCUAAUACCGGAUACGACACAGCUUCGCAUGGGGUUUGUGUGGAAAGUUUUUCGGUUUGGGAUGGGCUCGCGGCCUAUCAGCUUGUUGGUGUGGUGAUGUCCUACUAAGGUGGCGACGGGGAGCCGGCCUGAGAGGGCGACCGGCCACACUGGGCCUGAGACACGGCCCAGAGUCCUAUGGGAGGCAGCAGUGGGGAAUAUUGCACAAUGGGCGGAAGCCUGAUGCAGAGACGCCGCGUGAGGGAUGACGGCCUUCGGGUUGUAAACCUCUUUCAGCAGGGAAGAAGCGUAAGUGACGUUACCUGAAGAAGAAGCGCCGGCCAACUACGUG